rnacentral:misc_RNA from 1 species
AACGCACAUUGCGCCCGCUAGUAUUCUGGCGGGCAUGCCUGUUCGAGCGUCAUUUCAACCCUCAAGCCCGGCUUGGUGUUGGGGCACUACAGCCUUCUGUAGGCCCUGUAAAAUAGUGGCGGACCCGCUGUAAACCUGAGCGUAGUAGUUACUUCUCGCUUCUGGAUUGCGGCGGUCUCUAUGCCGUGAAACCCCCUAUUCUAAAAGGUUGACCUCGGAUCAGGUAGGAAUACCCGCUGAACUUAA